rnacentral:rRNA from 1 species
GAUGAACGCUGGCGGCGUGCCUAAUACAUGCAAGUCGAGCGAACAGAUGAGGAGCUUGCUCCUCUGACGUUAGCGGCGGACGGGUGAGUAACACGUGGAUAACCUACCUAUAAGACUGGGAUAACUUCGGGAAACCGGAGCUAAUACCGGAUAAUAUAUUGAACCGCAUGGUUCAAUAGUGAAAGACGGUUUUGCUGUCACUUAUAGAUGGAUCCGCGCCGCAUUAGCUAGUUGGUAAGGUAACGGCUUACCAAGGCAACGAUGCGUAGCCGACCGGAGAGGGUGAUCGGCCACACUGGAACUGAGACACGGUCCAGACUCCUACGGGAGGCAGCAGUAGGGAAUCUUCCGCAAUGGGCGAAAGCUUGACGGAGCAACGCCGCGUGAGUGAUGAAGGUCUUCGGAUCGUAAAACUCUGUUAUUAGGGAAGAACAAAUGUGUAAGUAACUAUGCACGUCUUGACGGUACCUAAUCAGAAAGCCACGGCUAACUACGUG